GAGUUUGAUCCUGGCUCAGAACGAACGCUGGCGGCAGGCCUAACACAUGCAAGUCGAGCGCCCAGCAAUGGGAGCGGCGGACGGGUGAGUAACGCGUGGGAAUUUUUCCUGGAGUACGGAACAACCGAGGGAAACUUCGGCUAAUACCGUAUGAUAUCGAGAGAUCAAAGAUUUAUCGCUCUGGGGGUGAGCCCGCGGUCAGAUUAGGUAGUUGGUGGGGUAACGGCCUACCAAGCCUGCGAUCUGUAGCUGGUCUGAGAGGACGAUCAGCCACACUGGGACUGAGACACGGCCCAGACUCCUACGGGAGGCAGCAGUGGGGAAUCUUGCGCAAUGGGCGAAAGCCUGACGCAGCCAUGCC
rnacentral:rRNA from 1 species